rnacentral:piRNA from 1 species
UAUCCAGUUUACAAUAGCCUAU